rnacentral:rRNA from 1 species
UACGUAGGGUGCAAGCGUUGUCCGGAAUUAUUGGGCGUAAAGAGCUCGUAGGCGGUUUGUCGCGUCUGCUGUGAAAACUCGGGGCUUAACUCCGGGCCUGCAGUGGGUACGGGCAGACUAGAGUGCGGUAGGGGAGACUGGAAUUCCUGGUGUAGCGGUGAAAUGCGCAGAUAUCAGGAGGAACACCGGUGGCGAAGGCGGGUAGCUGGGCCAACACUGACGCUGAUGCGCGAAAGCUAGGGGAGCAAACGGG